GGGCGUGUGUGGUAGCUUGGAUCAUCCUAUCAGCCUUCGGAGCUGACAACCCGGGUUCGAAUCCCGGCACGCCCUCCA
rnacentral:tRNA from 3 species